UUUUCUCUACACAGGGCAAUGAAUGGCUGACUUGGCACAAGCAUUAAAGAGCAGGAAGCCAAGAAAUAGAAUCAAGUAAAAAAUGAUUUUAUGGUUGUUAUUCUUCCUAAGACUAUCUGUGCUCCCAGAGGCACAUGUCAUAGACAAGAAAAUGCCAUUGGAAAUUCAGGUCCCUGCAUGGAGGGGCUGUUGGUCAUUUGGAAAGUGUGUGAUUGAGUGAGACAGACAUCUCUAGGAAUGCUCCCAGACCUACUCAGAAUUCAAGGCUGUGCACCUCCCGGUUGCUCAUAACACAGGGGUUGCUUUAGCUUUGUUUAUUCACUGCUCAAAAGUAAUGACACAGGGCAACAACAAGAUAUCCAAAAGGAGCCCUGGUGAGGAUCCAGUAUUGAUGGUGUAGCGGGGACCAGAGGCCUCAAAUCAGGCCAGUGACUCAUUGCAAUCAACAUUUGCAAGAGACAAGGACUCUCGAGGCUGCGUAACUGAGUGACGUGUGCGCAACGCUGAUUUCCACCUAUACGACUUCCUUCUUACGAGUGGAUCAUGGGACUGGCUUUAGGUUAAAACCCCAUGUGUGACUUUUCCAGUUUGAAAAUGAGGAGUUGUUCGGGUCUUCCACAUCGGGCAUCAUGGGAAAAGCUGCUCUCCUUAUACAUGACUCAGUUCCCAAGCUGCUGCGUCAUGAUCUGCAGAGGGCAAGACAUUCAGGAAUUUCUGGCUUGCCGUGUUCUUCUACUUAUCUGUAUUCCCUGUCCAGGUUCCUCAUUAUUGUAUCCUCAGAUGGGCUUGUCUCCUGAGAUGCCUGUAUCUGCAAAAGCAAGAAACCUUGAAGAUACUUUUUAUACCUUGACCCUGUACUUGAAUAUUUUUGAUUCCAAGGAGUUCUUAUUGAUUCCCCACCAGGCUCCCUCGGUUCAGGAAACCUCCCCCCUCAGAGCUUUUGUUUGAGAUGACCUGAUGUCACCCUCAUGAUCCUUACUGGAGACAUGAAUCGUGGGAGAGUCAACACUUUCACUAGUUUGACCUCAUGCUUAUAACUAUUACACUAAUGACAGAAUGCUUGACAGUUACUGUCAUUUUGACAUGUUUUAGCCAAUGACUCCACUGCCUAGGAGCUUAGCUUAACUCUGCUCAUUUCUUGGCAGAUAAUAGUGCUUCCAUGCAGAGGAAUAUGAUUUCCUUUAACAAUCACAUCUUUACUUAUUCUGGGAUAUGCACAUGUGCAUGUAUGUAUGCGAGCACGCAUGCUAAGGCGCUCAUGUGGAACUCAGAAGACAGCUUGUGGGAGGUGGCUUUCUCCUUCCGUCUUGUGGAUCCUAGGGUUUGAAUUUAGGUUCUCAGAUGAAUGUUGGCAGCACUUACUUUUACUCACUGACUCACCUCUGUGGCCUGAGCGAUCCUAUUUCAGCUGCAGCCUUACACCCCAAAUCUAAGCACUGUGAUUAAAACCAGGAGUCCAGCCACUGAAUCAUACCUUGGAGUUGCACAUACCGAGGGGGAAGCAGCCAGGACAACUUACUUUAUGGGUCUUCACUGUAAGACUCAACUCUUGAGGUGUUUACAUCUGUGCUGUAACCUGCCUUCCCCUUUCCAUGAACCAAGAUCUUAACCAAUGCUGUCUUUAAUGAAAUAAUUGGUAUUUACUGAAUAAGAAAUCCGUGCCCUGUAUUAUGUUGAUGAUAUGGUGAUAAAAACACCUCAGAAGAUUUCAUCACAAUAUUGAAUCAAAAUACGAAUGAGUAAUGCUUGCAAACAGAUGAGCAUACAUUUUGCUUGUUGGGAAUUCAUGCUUUAUCCUAGCAGCACACUGAUUCCCCAGCUUGUGGAGACAAGGAGACAAACAUCUGUGCCACCUUUCAGUUUUGAUUCAUGAAGGCACUUUCUUACUAUACAACCCUCGCUGGACUGGAAAACACGUGUAGAUGAGAAUGCCUUGAACUCAGAGUGAUGUUUCUGCCCCUGCCUCUUCCUAAGUGCUAGAGUUACAGUUACAUACCCCCAUAUCCAGCCUGCUUCCUGUUUUGCGAUAGAAGUAAAAACUAAUAUUCUUAAUAUAAGAAUGAGAAUCGUUCAAUAAACUCUAAAAUUGAAAAAAAAAACAAAUAGUGAAGUAAAUUCUAGAAAGGGGUAAGCCUGAACGGAGGAAAGAAAGAAAAGAAGCUAGCUCUGUUUGGGGAAAUGAGACUCAGAAAUAAAAUAAGGAUAGGCAUUUCUGCUUAUCAAUAUGCCUGAGCCCCAGAUAACAGGGAUCAUGGGUCCACCGGGAGAAGGCCACCCCUGGGCUGUGGGAAUGGUGCUAGUGAGAAACUCAAGAGUUCCUUCUCAUCUUUAUCACUCUCAGCAUAUUUUUGUAAAUAACAAAUCGCGUAAUACUGGGCUCUUUGGCUACUGUCGUUGUGGAUGGAUCACCAGUCCCAGGGACAUGUCAUGUUGAAAAGUUGUCUUCAUCAAGGACAAUCUAUUUCCUAAAACUAUGCCUCAAGAGCAUUUUCAGUGGUCAGUCAGGGCAACCGCUUCUGGCUUGGGACUGAGAGAUUUUGUCUGAACUUUCUUUAACCUGAUGCUUCACAAAUAAGAACAGGUUUGCCAUUCUGAGCGACAUCUUGGAUGUCUGGAAAUGUCUUAGCUGUCAUGCUGGGGUGUUUGGGUAUGCCCACGUGGAGGCCAGGGAUGCUGCUAACCAAUAUACGCUUUCGAAGGCAGCGCCAUUGCCCCCCAGCAAGGAAUAUCUGAUCCCAAAUUGCAAAAAUACCGAGAUUGAGGAACAGUAUGUUAAAAUAAUCUUUUGUUCCUUGAGGAACAGUGAUUUUCAUCCAGAGAAACAACUUAAGCAACCAACAGCGGUAAAGGCUUAUUUAAUUUUCUACUGGGUUUAGAGUUCAGACCUUUUGAGCCCCAGAACAGAAUGGAAGAAUUCGGUGGCUUGCUGGUCCAUGCUAACAGUAAUUUUCUCAUAGCAUUAUCUACUCACAGCUCUUUCCUCUUUUAACCUUCCUGAUGAUAUUGAAAAAUCCCAAUCUACGGUGUCCUGAUGAACUCAAAGAAUAGGGAAUAGCAGCCAAGAAGCAUAUUAUAUUUGACAGGGAAAUUAUGAAAAAGGCAGUCCUUACCAGGUUCACUUCCUUUCACUGAGUUUCCCCACUAGCUACUUUUUCUCUGGUUCUGGCUGGAGUCUUUCUAGAUUUGCCCUUUUUUUGGCUAUAAGAUGCUUCAUAAAUCCCUUUGGGGUGAAGCCUGAUAGCUGAGUUCUGAUGGGUUAAUUGCAUUUAAUCCGCUCAUUUAUGAAUGCCACCAAAGAUUAAAGCACGUGAAAAAUUAAAUAAUGUGAGAUUGCAUUGACUCUGUGGGAGAAAUAUUCUUGACCCUUAGCAAAUCUUGUCCUUGCUUCAUUUUGGUGAAGUUUAUUGGCUUUGAGCAGGCUUCUUAAGUCUUUUCACUUGUGAGUCCUUUGUGUUCAAGAAAUAUAUAUUUUUUGGACAUUGGGUAUACAGAUAUAAAAUACAUAUACAAAUCAAACAUUAAUUAAUAAAGACUUAUUAAGAAAUUUGCUUAAAAUCAGUCUUUGGUAUACAUAUAAUUUUUUCAUUUAUUAAGGAAGAAAGCAGACUUGCAUAUUAAUAGCAUUAAUGUGCUUGUUUAAUGUUACAUAAAGAACUAUAUCUUGGGUGAAUAUUUGCUACUAUAGGAUGUACAGACUCUUCACCAUUUUUAAGAGUUGAUCUGUGUUUUUAUAUUUUAAUUGUCAACGUUGAGAAUGUCAUUUCACGUAUUCAACAAAGUGGCAGAAGCAUACCAAAUAUCAUUUCAGACAUCGUUGGAAACUCUGUCCUAACCCCAUGCCCAAAAUUUAUUUAACAAUUUUUAAAUAUAAUACAGGUCAGCAACUCAAUCAGUGAACGUUAAACUCAAACAACCCAACAGUGCAACCCAGACAUACAUAUUCGAUACCUAUGUGUUGAGGAAUGGCAAUUAAAAACAAAACAAAACAAAACAAAACAAAAAAAACUACUUGAAGUCUUCAUUUUCCGUAAUCAAACUAUUAUGUCUCUAUAAGAGCAGAAAAUUUGAAUGUACAGUGCAAACGCUGCAUUUCAUGACUUUUAAUAUUCCUAAACCCGAGCUGGGGUGUUUCAGACACUAUUAGCUGGUGUUGCUUAAGGCGACGGUGCAUGCUGCUCAUGUUGGGUGCUCAGAAACAACCAGCACGAUGCGUAGAACUAAGAGCUGCCAGAAGCACCUUGCUGUCACUGUGCACUUGAGGUUGAAUUAAUUUUUGAUUGUCACACAUUCAGAAACCUUUUAUUCUUGCCAUUUUUUUCCCAUCAGCCUCACUUUGAGUUACAUGUUCUCAUGUAGGAUUUUAGGUCACAGUUUAAGAAGCUGGUGACCUAGUUUGUGGAAUGGUAAGCAUUUGAGACACCCUUCAGACAAGAGAUUCCUAUUAUCAAGGCUGCAGAGGAAGGGUUUAGAGGGCACGGAGCCUGCUCUCUUAAACUGCUGAGGGAGCGGAGACUCCAGGCAGGUAAGGGGCUAGUACUGGGUGACCCGUGAGUAGCAGUCCUUGGUCUGGAGUUCAGGUUGUUUUAUGAGUCCAGUGGUCUUAUGGUUUGAUUUUGUACUGUAGAUCAUAUUCAUCUCUGUGUGGUCAGAGGUGCCCAGAAUGCACUGCAGUAGAGUUGGACCUAUUUUUUCCUUGUAUAUGUACACAUCACUUCAGAGCAUUAAAGCUUCUCUUAUGUAUGUUAUGUCAUACCAAAAAUGCUUUAUUGCAUUAAUAGAACACCAUUUUUGUUUCCGUUGAUGAAAGGAAGUGAACACUCAGAGAUAGGAAGUAACAUUUAAAGGAAAGCAACUAAACCAAAAACGAAAU